GGAUGUGAGGGCGAUCUGGCUGCGACAUCUGUCACCCCAUUGAUCGCCAGGGUUGAUUCGGCUGAUCUGGCUGGCUAGGCGGGUGUCCCCUUCCUCCCUCACCGCUCCAUGUGCCUCCCGAAGCUGCGCGCUCGGUCGAAGAGGACGACCUUCCCCGAUAGAGGAGAGGACCGGUCUUCGGUCAAGGGUAUACGAGUAGCUGCGCUCCCCUGCUAGAACCUCCAAACAAGCUCUCAAGAAUGGUUUUAUUUUAAUGUCCAUGAAAUUAGAUCUAGCUACACUUCUAUGCAGCAUGUGUUUGCUGUGU
ensembl:misc_RNA 7SK 7SK RNA